UACGAAGGGGGCUAGCGUUGUUCGGAAUUACUGGGCGUAAAGGGCGCGUAGGCGGCCCACCAAGUCAGAUGUGAAAGCCCCGGGCUUAACCUGGGAAUUGCAUUUGAGACUGGUGAGCUUGAGUUUCGGAGAGGUGGGUGGAAUUCCCAGUGUAGAGGUGAAAUUCGUAGAUAUUGGGAAGAACACCGGUGGCGAAGGCGGCCCACUGGACGAAUACUGACGCUGAGGCGCGAAAGCGUGGGGAGCAAACAGG
rnacentral:rRNA from 1 species